UAUACAGUAUUUUUUUCUUGUAUUUUUAUUUGAUUUCUUACAUACAAUGGAUUAUUUUAAAUUAGAUUCAUUAUCUCCACAGUUAUGGCACUAAUGUUGAAAGAGGAAAGGGAAAAGCAGUUGGUAGGCCAAGAGGAAAGAGUAUAGGACAGGGUCGUGGUAGGAUGUUAAAUCAAGAUUGAUCGGUACCAAAGGCAUGAUGUCUUAAAUGUCUACAAGCUUGCACCAUCGGCUACAUGAAUAACUUGAAAUUGUUUACUAAGAAGAUACCUAUUAUAGAUCAUGGAGUUGUUGAAGCAUCCACUACUCUUAAUGUCGACGAUGUGGAUUGAUUUCAUUUUCAUGGCAAUAACGUGCAUUUUUUUUUCG